UGGGGAAAAUACUCAUAUAUAAAAGCGGUAAAGUGAAGAUGAAGAUUGGAGAUGCUCUGUUUGAUGUAUCUCCUGGCUCAAACUGCAUGUUCAUCCAGGAGGUUGCAGCGAUUAACACUAGAGAAAAACACUGCUGCACCCUGGGGGAGAUUAGUAAGCGUGCGGUUGUAGCCCCAGAUGUGGACUAUCUGCUGUAUUCUACUAAUAAGAUGGAAGAAUGAGC